rnacentral:rRNA from 1 species
CCUACGGGAGGCAGCAGUGGGGAAUAUUGCACAAUGGGGGAAACCCUGAUGCAGCGACGCCGCGUGAGUGAAGAAGUAUCUCGGUAUGUAAAGCUCUAUUAGCAGGGAAGAAAAUGACGGUACCUGAUUAAGAAGCCCCGGCUAACUACGUGCCAGCAGCCGCGGUAACGCGGAGGGGGCAAGCGUUAUCCGGAUUUACUGGGUGUAAAGGGAGAGUAGACGGCAGCACAAGUCUGGAGUGAAAUGCCGGGGCUUAACCCCGGAACUGCAUUGGAAACCGGGCAGCUAGAGUGCAGGAGAGGUAGGUGGAAUGCCUGGUGUAGCGGUGAAAUGCGUAGAUAUUAGGAGGAACGCCGGUGGCGAAGGCAGCUUACUGGACUGUAACUGACGUUGAGGCUCGAAAGCGUGGGGAGCAAACAGGAUUAGAUACCCGAGUAGUC